ensembl:lncRNA
UGGGUGCCAAGGGUGAGUGUUCCGAAGCCAGCAGGUGCUGGACGAUAUGAGUGCCUGUGCACCUUUGCGCUCCGGAAGGCCCAGUGUAGGCUGAAGGUCCCUUCAGGGGCGCAAGCACCUGGAGUCCCAACAGGAGUGUGUGUGUUUGACUCUGGGUUACUGUGACAGGCGAGGGACAGAUUGAAUGGCUUUGGAUGGGUGUGGUGGUGUUCUGGAGCUGGUUCCUACAGUCAGAUGCUCAGAAAAAUUGAAACGUGUUACCACAACCGUUGAUCUGGAGCGCCUCAUCCUGCACUGGCUUGAAGCAAGGCUUCGGUUCCUGGCCAGAGAGCAAGGUCCAGUCCAGGAGCAUUAGCAAAAGGAAUUGACGAGAAAAGUCAAACUGCGAAGAAUUGUGGCAUCAGAAAAUGUGAAAUCUGUGAGAUCAAUUUAAAAUCCCAAUGGACUUCCCUGGUGGUCCAGUGAUAAAGAAUCCAUCUGCCAGUGCUGGGGACAUGGGUUCAAUCCCUACUCUGGGAAGAUUCCACAUGCUGCAGGGCAACUAAACCCAUGCACCACAACUACUGAGCCUGUGCUCCACAACAAGAGAAGCCACUGCAAUCAGAAGCCUGCACGCCGCAACCAGAG